UAUUCAACUACAAAAACACCA
rnacentral:tRNA from 1 species